rnacentral:misc_RNA from 1 species
GAUGAAGAACGCGGCGAAAUGCGAUAAGUAAUGUGAAUUGCAGAAUUCAGUGAAUCAUCGAAUCUUUGAACGCACAUUGCGCCCUCUGGUAUUCCGGGGGGCAUGCCUGUUCGAGCGUCAUUACAACCCUCAAGCUUUGCUUGGUAUUGGACAUUGCCAGUUUCUGGCAGGUCUUAAAAUCAGUGGCGGUGCCAUUUGGCUUCAAGCGUAGUAAUUCUUCUCGCUUUGGAGAUCCAAGUGGUUACUUGCCAAUAACCCCCAAUUUUUUCAGGUUGACCUCGGAUCAGGUAGGGAUACCCGCUGAACUUAAGCAUAUCAAUAAGCGGAGGA